rnacentral:rRNA from 1 species
CCUACGGGUGGCAGCAGUGGGGAAUAUUGCACAAUGGGGGAAACUCUGAUGCAGCGACGCCGCGUGAGUGAAGAAGUAAGUCGUUACGUAAAGCUCUAUCAGUAGGGAAGAAAAUGACGGUACCUGAGUAAGAAUGCCCGGAUAACUCCGUGCCAGCAGCCGCGGUAAUACGUAGGGGGCAAGCGUUAUCCGGAUUUACUGGGCGUAACGGGAGCGUAGGCGGUGCGCAAAGUCUGUAGUGAAAUGCAGAAGCUUAACUGCGGAACUGCUUUGGAAACUGGCGAACUAGAGUGCGGGCGGGGUAAGCGGAAUGUCUGGUGUAGCGGUGAAAUGCGUAGAUAUUAGGAGGAACACCGGUGGCGAAGGCAGCUUACUGAACCGUAACUGACGUUGAGGCUCGAAAGCGUGGGGAGCAAACAGGAUUAGAUACCCGAGUAGUC